CAAAAAUAGCAUAAAACAUAAAAGUGCAAAUUGGCAUGGCGCAACUGAGUUGUCUACACUGUGCUCAGAUGUGCCCCAGCCUCUGAGGAAAAAGAAACGCAGAGCAAUAAGAAAGUGUAACACAGCUGAGGUAAGGGUCCCAAUAAUGUGCUACUUCAUAUGGAUGCAGAGCACUUUGAAAUCGAUCGUAUAUGAAGUAUUUCACUUUAAAAAAGUUUUUAUUGUCAUUUUUUUUCUUCUACCUUUUAUUACCUUGGCUGUUAUUACAGAAAUGUGAAAUGGAAGUUUGUCGCUAUGUGUCUAUUGUAAUUUUUUUCUGACUACACAGAAGAUCAGAUUAUCGGAUUACUAAUAGUACAGGUCAUUACAUCUUCCCUACAGGGUAAAUGGAAAUCCACAGGUUUUACAAACAAAUGUGUGCGAUUAAUUGUUAGUCCUGUUAUACAUUAUUUUAUUUUUUAACAGAUCUUGCAAGAGUCUCAUAAAGAUCACGAAAGCAUAAAUGACAGUGCAGCAAAGGACAGCGUAGAGGACACUAGUGAAUCCGAAUCAUUUCCUCCAGCAGGGUGUGGUGUAGAUGUAGAAAGCUGUCAGACAGCAGUCCAAACACCGAAAUGGAGAUUGCCUUACAAAGGCGUGGCUGUGCAGGUGAAUGAUAGCACACCCAAAAAACUUUUAAAGAUGCAGCUGUGCAAACGGAUGAAAUUGGCUCACCUUGCACAAACUCAACAUCUCCAGAACGAGAUGACGAUCAGAAGCAGAACAAUCCUUAAAACCAGUACAAGAUGAGAUGUUGAUACAAAGUGAGGAAGUUGAGGAAAAUGAAAACAAGCUGGACCCAUUAUCUGACACUGACACCUACCAAUCUGAUUAUUCAGAAACUUCAGAAGCUGCUGAAGAAAUUUGUAACCCCCAAAUACAGCUGAGGAGAGAAAGUUUAUAGUUUUUGAAAGUCAGCUAUUACAAUUAUUUAUAAUCGCUUUUAUAAUUAUCGCUUGCUUCAGGAUCGUAUUGAUAAGGAUUUUUGGUUUUAAAUGAUGUUUCUUCUGAAUCCCUUCAACAAAGUCGUCCUCCUCACUCUCCGAGGUUUCAGCAUCAUUUUUUUGUAAACACUUGCUAGCUCCCUGCGUAGCCAUGCUGCUUCUGUUCCACUUGCCUUCCCCUGCGCACAUCAUAUAGCAACGGGAGGAGUUCCAUAGCAACCACUGAAGCACGCUUCCUGUUUACCAAAACGCUGAUUUAAAACUUAAAAUUAUACUGCUUUCCAGCAACUUUUGAGUAAAACAGAACAUUGGAGUUUGUUUUGGGGUAGUUUAACUAGUUAAUUUUUAUUAGUUGUACAAAUCGCUGGAAGGACACUUUAAGGAGGUAGGGAGUUUGGUGAGUUUUUGUUCUGUGUGUUCAGGGAGAAUGAAUGGGAGAGAAGAGAAAAGCAAUUAAAAUCAUAACAAUUGCUACGCAUGGUGGAGUGGAAACAGCAUGGUACUUGUUUUGCAUCUGUUUGUUCGUUUUGGCCACUGUGCCGUUUUGCUUUACAAAAGUGUUUUGUGUUUAAAUCUUUUUAUUUAUAAUAAACCGGCGCAACAGCACAUUUCACUCACCAAAACCAUCUGUCUAUUUCCUGGCCUGACAUCAGCACAUGAGCCACUGUGUCACAGGGAUAUAUCGUUUGUGAUACAACUGUGCCCUUAUAUUUA